AAAUAUCAUAUCAUAAGAUAUCAAACAAGAUCAACUUAUAUCAACAUUUUUAACAGAAGCCAUCCUUGUGCCCUUGUCCCAGGACAAAGGGAGGAUGAACAGCUGGGCGAGCUAGGUGCUGACUGCCCUGGGCCGGGAUCAAAAUCAGGCCUGUGGAUCUGAAGCUGAGGAUGCAGACCACCACACCUCUAAAUUCAGUGGUGGGCACAGUUCCACUAACCGCUAAUUAGCGAACUUUCUCGUUAGCUGAUUAGUGUUUUCACUAACUCAGGAAAGUUAGCGGACCAAUUAGCUUCUGUUAAAUGUAGUUCCUCCUCCGCUAACUUUAAGUCCACUAAAAAAAUCAUGCAGGUUUGUUCUUGCCCAUUGUGGGCAGACACAGCACCAGUUGAGUCACAUGGCGCAAUAAUUCCAGGGCUUCCACUUUUGGGUAAAUUACGCCUUAAAGCAUAGCAAUUGGACAGUUAUUAAGGAAACUUUUUGGUAUUUUAGGGUAAUGCAUCUUCCAUUUCCAACUCAUUGAAAAAAAGUUAGCGGUUAACAGUAAGGGUUAGCUUCCACUAAUUUCUUUAUCAGUUUAGCGGCUCAGUGUAAGCGAGGCUAACUUUUUAGUUAGUGGAUUACCAGUUAGCAAAGUUAACUUUUUAGUUAGUGGAUUACCAGUUAGCAAAGUUAACUUUUUAGUUAGUGGAUUACCAGUUAGCAAAGUUAACUUUUUAGUUAGUGGAUUACCAGUUAGCAAAGUUAACUUUUUAGUUAGUGGAUUACCAGUUAGCAAAGUUAACUUUUUAGUUAGUGGAUUACCAGUUAGCAAAGUUAACUUUUUAGUUAGUGGAUUACCAGUUAGCAAAGUUAACUUUUUAGGUAGUGGAUUACCAGUUAGCAAAGUUAACUUUU